CGAACGCUGGCGGCGUGCUUAACACAUGCAAGUCGAACGGAAAGCCCCCUUUGGGGGUCCUCGAGUGGCGAACGGGUGAGUAACACGUGAGUAACCUGCCCUUGACUUCGGGAUAACUUCAGGAAACUGGGGCUAAUACCGGAUAGGAAUCCUUGCUGCAUGGUGGGGGUUGGAAAGCUUCGGCGGUUUUGGAUGGACUCGCGGCUUAUCAGCUUGUUGGUGGGGUAGUGGCUUACCAAGGCUUUGACGGGUAGCCGGCCUGAGAGGGCGACCGGCCACAUUGGGACUGAGAUACGGCCCAGACUCCUACGGGAGGCAGCAGUGGGGAAUAUUGCACAAUGGGCAGAAGCCUGAUGCAGCAACGCCGCGUGCGGGAUGACGGCCUUCGGGUUGUAAACCGCUUUCAGCAGGGGCGAAGCUUGUGGUGACGGUACCUGCAGAAGAAGCACCGGCUAACUACGUG
rnacentral:rRNA from 1 species